UGGAAAGGCGCGCCACCGGCUCGGCAUCUUCCCCGCUAGGGUUUAAAAUUACAGAAUAUGGAGAACUCUAUAUCUGGUAUGAUUGAGGAACAAAACGAGUACGUCGGCUAUAAUUCUGAUGACUCUGAAAUGGAGGAAAAUUUGCAGCACGAAGCCGGCUGGAGCGAAGACGAGUUUGAUAUUGCGUACGAUGAAUUUGAUAAUGUUGACAACCAUGGCGAACACACAGACGAUCAAAAUGAUGAGAACCAUGGUGAAC